rnacentral:rRNA from 1 species
CACGUAGGGCGCAAGCGUUGUCCGGAAUUAUUGGGCGUAAAGAGCUCGUAGGUGGUUCGCCACGUCUGUUGUGAAAAUCCAGGGCUCAACCCUGGACUUGCUGCGGAUACGGGUGAACUAGAGGUAGGUAGGGGAGAAUGGAAUUCCCGGUGUAGCGGUGAAAUGCGCAGAUAUCGGGAGGAACACCGGUGGCGAAGGCGGUUCUCUGGGCCUUACCUGACACUGAGGAGCGAAAGCGUGGGGAGCGAACAGG